rnacentral:lncRNA from 1 species
GGCCUCCAGAUGGCAUUUCAGCUGUAACAGCUCUAAGCCCUGGGGAGCAAAUCUUCAAAACAAACCAAGCACUCCCAACAGACAGCUGGCAGCAAGCUGUGUUUGAGACGCUGCUUCCCAAGAGGGUAGAGAAAGCACCGAGCCCCUGGAUAGUCCAGGUCCAGGUUAGACAAGGUGGAUCCGUGGGAGCCUGCACUCACUGAGACCAGCUCCACAGCCUUGGCCUCGUCACCCAUCUGGAGCCCACCUCUGACAGACUGCAGGCAUGCACAGCCGCACUCCUGGUUAAAUUUACUCCUUUAGCUCUUUGUGACCUCGGAGAGGUUUCAGGCUAGGUAACAAGGUAGUCACUGGGAAAGUUGGACAGGCCGCGACUCCUGGCAGCCACUGCAGCCCAUUGUCCCCAAGCCCAGGAUUCCCUCUUGCAUAUUAAUGAGGGAGCCACAGUGCUGAUGGGCACUUCCCACUGUCAGCCAGGUCCCCAAGGGCCGCGGCAGCAGAGAACUGCUGGUGAGUGCUGCCUGGCUGGGGAGCGGGUACCAGGUCUUGCAUUCAUUGUCUGCUGACUUCUCAGCGCCCAAGCCCAGUUCCUGGAAAGAAGUGGACCUCAGAACCAACCACAUCACUGCCAUUCAGGAUUUCAGCCCAGAGGGGCCUGUGUAGCUGAUGUCCCAGUCACAGUGAGCUGGACCGUGUCUGUAAUUAGUCAACACGGUCUUCCUCCUUCCCCAAGCAGCCCCAGGAGAAAACUAGUUCCCUGCCCCCUGUGUCUCCUGUCACCUGCCAUCUCCCUCCCCGGGCUGCUGCCUGCGGAAGCCUAUGCUGACAAGUUCGAAGGCCAGUGCGGGGGCCUCUGGCACUGCUGCAGAAGAUGCCAUAAGAUAGCCGGCGCCGCGGCUCACUAGGCUAAUCCUCUGCCUAGCGGCGCCGGCACACCGGGUUCUAGUCCCGGUCGGGGCGCCGGAUUCUGUCCCGGUUGCCCCUCUUCCAGGCCAGCCCUCUGCUGUGGCCAGGGAGUGCAGUGGAGGAUGGCCCAGGUGCUUGGGCCCUGCACCCCAUGGGAGACCAGGAAAAGCACCUGGCUCCUGGCUCCUGCCAUCGGAUCAGCGCGGUGCGCCGGCCGCAGCGCGCCGGCCGCGGCGGCCAUUGGAGGGUGAACCAACGGCAAAGGAAGAC